CGCUGGCCUUCAACCGAGGCAUGUGCACGCUCUCUUCUGGACUUUCGCCGUAUGGGCGCGGGGCGACCCGCGUCUUCAUAUACCUCUUCGUGUAGAAAGUCUUCGAAUGUUUUUACCAUCAUCGAGUCGCGACUUCUAGGAGACGCGAUUCUUUGAGACAAAAGUUAUCACAACUUUCAGCAAUGGAUCUCUUGGCUCUCGCAUCGAUGAAGAACGCAGCGAAUCGCGAUAUGUAAUGUGAAUUGCAGAUCUACAGUGAAUCAUCGAAUCUUUGAACGCACCUUGCGCUCCUCGGUGUUCCGAGGAGCAUGCCUGUUUGAGCGUCAGUAAAUUCUCAACCCCUCUCGAUUUGCUUCGAGUGGGGCUUGGAUAGUGGGGGCUGCCGGAGACCUGAAAUUCAUUUCGGGACUCGGGCUCCUCUGAAAUGCAUCGGCUUGCGGUCGACUUUCGACUUUGCGCGACAAAGCUUUCGGCGUGAUAAUGAUCGCCGUUCGCUGAAGCGCAUCAAUGAACCGUCCCGUGCCUCUAAUCAGUCGACGCCUUCCGGGCGUCUUCCUUAUAGACGUUUGACCUCAAAUCAGGUAGGACUACCCGCUGAACUUAAGCAUAUCA
rnacentral:rRNA from 1 species